CUGGAAAUGAACUCCCCUUGUUCUUCCUUAAAUUCGAACCACCACCACCACCACCGGCAUCCACUGCUACCACCGUCCACCAUCACCACCUUAUCCCGCCGAUAACCACCAACAACCACGUCCACCCAACCACCGCCCAGAACCACCCCUUUCGUACUCGUUCUCCCUCACAUUCCCCCUCUCCUGAUUUGCACUCUCACCCCCCUCCCCUCGCUGAACCACCGCGCAGACCACCCCUCCUAGACCCAUCUCCGCCUCCACAUUCCCCGGAGAACCACCCCUACCUCCUCCCGGAACCGCCCAGCUCACCCAAACUCCCCUACUUUUCCGCCCCUUUUUCGUCCUCCCUCUCCUUCGCGACGCGCCGCCCUACGGCCACCACCACCUCUGUCUCCCUAUCGUCACGCUCCGGCGCGGUCUCGCGCUGCUGCGACACCCAGGCCGCCGCCCUGCCGAGCCCAGCCAUCCCUGCCUCCCUUCCUCUCCUUCCCUGUUUCGCACCCCUUUCCCUCUUUGGUCGACUUUCCAGAAACCAAAAACCCAAUUCAUGACUCUUGCUUCCUUGCUCUAAUAAACCCAACAAAAGGCUGGCCCAAUACUAUUAUUUGGGCUUUGAAAUCGGACUUGGAGCUCAGGAAGAACGAUCCAUCAAAACAGGAAGUAUAAAACUACAGUUGAGGUACUGCGGGGAACGAUGGACACGAGUAGUGGCGAGGAAUUUCACUUUAAUAUUAUUCACCUAGUUUAUGCUUAAUGCUUUGAUAGUUUAAUUAAAGACUUUUAGUAAGUUGUGUGCUUAUAUUUUGGGGAAUAUAAAGGAUUAUUAUAUUAAAUUGGAGGUUUUUAUGGCUUAUGUAUGAUGUUGCCUUGUAAUUUCCGAGAGGGAAUUACGGCAGGUAA